CCUUUAUAGGCCCUUCACGUUUAAAAUAUUUAACUUAUAAUUGUUUAAAAAAAGGGAGUAUGUUAGAAUAUGAAAAUUUAAAUCUUUCUCAAAUAAAAGAGUUGUGCGGAGAAAGACAUUUAAGUAAAGAAGGAACAAAAGCAGAUCUUCUUGAGCGUAUAAAAGAAUAUGAAGAAAGACAGGCUAAAAUUAAACCUGGCCUUUUCCAGAUUGAAGAAUUGUGUCAGAUGAAGAUUAAAGAAAUUCAAGAAAUUAUUAAAAAAGGUUCAAAAUUUUCAGAAUCUGGACGACGCAAAGCCCCAAAGACUACUAAAAAAGAACAAUUUAUGGUUCA